rnacentral:rRNA from 1 species
GAUGAACGCUGACAGAAUGCUUAACACAUGCAAGUCGAUUCAAGUUACCUUCGGGUAAUGAGGAUGGCGGACGGGUGAGUAACGCGUAAGGAACUUGCCUCUUGGUCUGGGACAACUGUUGGAAACGACAGCUAAUACCGGAUAUUAUGAGAUUCUCGCAUGGGAAACUUAUGAAAGCUAUAUGCGCCAAGAGAGAGCCUUGCGUUCCAUUAGCUAGUUGGUGGGGUAAUGGCCCACCAAGGCGACGAUGGAUAGCCGGCCUGAGAGGGUGAACGGCCACAAGGGGACUGAGACACGGCCCUUACUCCUACGGGAGGCAGCAGUGGGGAAUAUUGGACAAUGGGCCACAAGCCUGAUCCAGCAAUUCUGUGUGCACGAUGAAGGUCUUCGGAUUGUAAAGUGCUUUCAGUUGGGAAGAAGAAAGUGACGGUACCAACAGAAGAAGCGACGGCUAAAUACGUGCCAGCAGCCGCGGUAAUACGUAUGUCGCAAGCGUUAUCCGGAUUUAUUGGGCGUAAAGCGCGUCUAGGCGGAAAAAUAAGUCUGAUGUUAAAAUGCGGGGCUCAACUCCGUAUUGCGUUGGAAACUGUUUUUCUAGAGUACUGGAGAGGUGGGCGGAACUACAAGUGUAGAGGUGAAAUUCGUAGANAUUUGUAGGAAUGCCGAUGGAGAAGUCAGCUCACUGG